UACUAGACUUCCCUGCGGCUGAUGUGUGCGGGUUGUGGCCUCAGACGCUGGCAGGGCAGCAGGCAGACACUAGCGGCAUGUUUGCUGACAGGCCUCUGUGAAGACGCGCCCCACAGGAUCUUAUACAGCCGUGUCACAUCUCCUAAAGCGCAGCAGGCCCUGAUGAAUGGAGGCCUUCUCCCCCGCCGUCCUCCCCGGUUCAUGCAUCCGGGAGCGCUUCUCAGCAGCCUGGGACUCGUUACGUCACCACCUCAUUCACAUCCACAGGGUUUUGUCUACGACGACCGGCGUUUUAGUACAUAUUUUGUCUGAGUGGGAGGAAUGACACAAUCCACCUGAGAGCAUCUCCAGCAAGUCAUUCAGAGAUGAUUUACCAAGGACAAGCGUGUAUUUUGCACAAGCACCAGACUGUUUCAAACAAGCGGGGAAUGACAGCGGAAACAGUGAAUGUGUGCAUUCAGUUGCGUGUCUUUACCUUGAACAAAUUAGCUUCUCAAAAGAGAGCUUUGUACAGUAUAUCAUGAGGCGGUGAACGAUAUGAAGGAAAACAUGCAGGAUCCGGAGCAAAGAAGAUUAGACUGAAAUGCUUUGUGGUGGAACUUGCCAAAAGGACUCCCUGCCAGACCUGUCUAUGUUAUUGAAAGUGUCAGGAAAAGUCCCCCGACUCAUAUUUAUGCAAUCCCAUUCCUGUCUAGGAAUCUUUCAGGACAAUAUUUAGGGACAGCCAGUGUUCCCUGUGCAGUUAAAGUCUGGAUCGCCUGCAGUGCACCAUGUUUACGCUUGCUGAUUAGUUUACCUCUGUGGAUGGGGAGAACAUCAUUUCAAUCAGGACAGACCCGACAGAACAAAAUAUCAGAAACAGCUCAGUAGUGACAUGAACACGAGGAGGCUUUAGACACUAUUUUGGGACAUAACUAGUACAGAAGAUCCCCCAUGGAGACGGAGCUGGAGGCCAGUAAUGGUCUGAUGAGCACCAAAACAAAUGAAACCAACCUGUUAUACACGGAAUACCAGGCUGAUUAAUCCAAUAUUUGUUCAUAAACCAGAAACCAUCGGCCUCUUGGUCAGUGUCAUACUGUAUAACAGUAUGAAACCAGGUGGUGGUAGAAAACAGAGGAGUCAAAAAUACCAAAUGCCAACCAUGUGUUACUGGAAGAAGCUUCAGAGCAUAAAAUAGUCAUAGGAUUCAUCCUGACUGCUUACAAAUGCAUGUUUCACGGCAGUCUGGCCAGUGAUGCUGAACUGCUGAACUUCUAAAACCUCCCUAGAACUCAGCUGGUCUCCUUCUUUUUAAACCAGUGUGUCAUUUUAAACAUGCCAAGCUGUGGAUAAAAACAGUGACUGUUGACUCAGCUGUGGAGCUUCACACCAACAUCUGGACGGAGUCUCUCGUUUGUCUUACACAAACUGCUGCUGAGACAGGGGCGAAGGCUGGCAGCCGGUCGGCGUGCAGGUAGGUAAGCGAGGAGGGGACGGGCUGCGGCAAGGAGACACAUUUUCCCCAUGUGUCGGCACAUGGGUGGGCAGUGUUUGGGUAGUCACUAAGGGCAGGGUUUGGCAUUCGCAGGUCAGAUCACACAACAAAGCGGGGUCGUAAUAGAGGAACGUGCUCGGCCUGGCGAGAAGGUCUCAACAGGUUGGUUUAGGCACAGAGCAGAGAAAUUCCUCAGCACUUGUGUCAUUCCAUUGAGAUUAGGAAGAGCGUUGAGGUCAGUCGAGAACAGUCAUAGAUCAGCUGGAGAACAGCCCAAGAUCAGCUGUAGAUCAGCUGUAGAAGAGCUGUAGAACAGCCGUAGAUCAGCUGUAGAACAGCUGUACAUCAGCAGUAGAUCAGCCAUAAAGCAGCCAUAGAUCAGCUGGAGAACAGCAGUAGAUCAGCUGUAGAUCAGCCAUACAGCAGUCGUAGGUCAGCUGUAGAACAACUGUAGAACAGCUGUAGAAAAGUCAUAGAUCAGCUGUAGAACAAGCGUAGAACAGCCGUAGAACAGUCGCAUAUCUGCUGCAGAACAGCCCGAGAUCAGCCAUAGAAGAGUCGUAGAAGAGCCGUAGAACAGCAGUAGAUCAGCAGUAGAUCAGCUGUAGAACAGCUGUAGAUCAGCAGUAGAUCAGCUGUAGAACAGCUGUAGAUCAGCAGUAGAUCAGCCAUAAAGCAGCCAUAGAUCAGCUGGAGAACAGCAGUAGAUCAGCCAUAAAGCAGUCGUAGAUCAGCUAUAGAACAACCGUAGAACAGCAGUAGAUCAGCCAUAAAGCAGCCAGAGACCAGCCGUAGAUCAGCUGUAGAACAGCAGCAUGAAGCAGGUGUAGAUCAGCUGGAGAACAGCUGGAGAUGGGGGAUACUUCCUCACACAGGGUCUCUUACAUAACCAGCAGACAUACAUUUGUGAGUGGGACUGAUGAUGACUUCUGUGCUGCCUUCUAGCUGGGUGGUAUUGUGACUUGGGUGGUAUUUGAAGGGAUGACUCAGAGGAUUUACGAUUCUUUGAUUGCUGAGCCACUGUUCCGUCUGCAAGCGCUUCGUCUCUCACUUCAAACACUUUCUAUUAAUUUUCCUCUGAACUAAUUUGUUUUGUUCCCUUUUAAAAGCCCUCAAAGACGCUUCCAAUCAUGAAGCAGACGUUGCUUUUACGCAAGGAUUUUAGAAGAUGGAUUUCUGGUGUGAUUUUCUUUGACAAACUGGAAACUUUGUUGACUUCAGAAAGACAACUUAAAAUGCCUGACUGGUUUCAGUUACAGAGAUCUUCAGAGAUCACCUUAGAAUUCAGAUUCUGCAGUUCUACAAGCUUGAACCAAUUCCUGGUUGUUGGGUUCUCACACUUGUUCUUAUUUUUGCUGACAGCUUUGAGAUGCUGCUCUGAAACCCAGGCAGGUUCUAAAGUUCUGCUCUGAGGAUUAACGCCUGUUUGGCACUUGCAAAUUGAUAUUCAUGCAGUGUUUAGUUCCUCUCCGAAGACAUUUGCUUCAAAUGUGAGUUUUUCAAAUAGGGAAAGUGAAAGAAAGGCUUUUCACUCAGACCUCUCCCAUGAAUAGCAAGCACAGCGUUAGUGAAUCUGAAAGACCACAAAUAUUCUGACACAGUUUGUGAAUAAGCCGUAAUAAAAUUUUGUUUUUGUUUAUACAAGAAAACACAAGUUAAAAAAACUCAAGUCAUCAUCAGCUCAAACCUCCAGAGAUUCACACGCUAAAAGAUGAAUCAACAAAAUUGUGAUAAAAUUUAUUUAUGAUAAAAAUAAAACAGUACUAAUAAAAGUCAUAAUUUAAGCAAAAUCAACAGGUGCAAGUAGAAAAUGUCUGCACACACACACACACACACACGCAUGUCCCUUCCAGCCCCAGUCACACACCUGCUCCCACUUCCCUCCCAUUAUCCAAACCUGCAGUUAAACCAGCUCCUCGUUAGCGUUCGCCUGUCUGGUCCUUGCUCCUUCUUCUCUGUCCGCUCACCUGCCUGCACCUCCGUCUCUGUCUGAUUCUGCUCCCUGUCACCCUUUUAUUUACCACCUACAGGUCUGUGGCUCUGAUUUAGCGUCUUCCUGUGACCUUAAGCUCUGGGGAGGUCCUUUCAGUCUAAUGGACUCCGUUGCUUCACUGAUACGCAGGCGGAAGGUGGCGGGACGAGAGCUGCGCUCCGAUGGCGGAGGUCUGAGUCGAGCAGCGAGGGACCGCGCGCUGCCGUCUCCACAUCAGCCGGAGCCUCCCUCCAACUUCCACAACUCACUCCUGCUUCAGUGCCGAGUGAAAAAUACCCCAGAGCCGGGGGCAACGAAGUGCUGGCGUCGUUUAUCGUAUUCCACGCUCAGAUGUGGGACAUUCAGCAGUCAGUGCAUCUCUAGAGGUUGAUGGCUGAGACGUCAGAUUGAUUCGUUGAGGGAAAGUGCAUCGAAAUGGGUUGUAUUGCAGUUUAAUCUCAUCUAGUCUCCUUUUCCCACGUAGCUGCAAGGACUGUUAAGUAUCUCUACAAUAGUUUGGAUUAUAUAAAUCCUAAUCUAGCAUACAUUUGUUUAGGUAGUAUCUAGACUGGUGUAAGCUGCCUAAAAAUAGAUGUUUCUGCAAUAAAAAUACUAAAAAUAAGUUAUA